CCCAGGACUUACGUCCUGGGCUACUUUCUUUCGCCCAUCCGGGGCU
rnacentral:sRNA from 1 species